AUUGAACGCUGGCGGCAGGCCUAACACAUGCAAGUCGAGCGGAUGAAGGGAGCUUGCUCCUGGAUUCAGCGGCGGACGGGUGAGUAAUGCCUAGGAAUCUGCCUGGUAGUGGGGGAUAACGUCCGGAAACGGGCGCUAAUACCGCAUACGUCCUGAGGGAGAAAGUGGGGGAUCUUCGGACCUCACGCUAUCAGAUGAGCCUAGGUCGGAUUAGCUAGUUGGUGGGGUAAAGGCCUACCAAGGCGACGAUCCGUAACUGGUCUGAGAGGAUGAUCAGUCACACUGGAACUGAGACACGGUCCAGACUCCUACGGGAGGCAGCAGUGGGGAAUAUUGGACAAUGGGCGAAAGCCUGAUCCAGCCAUGCCGCGUGUGUGAAGAAGGUCUUCGGAUUGUAAAGCACUUUAAGUUGGGAGGAAGGGCAGUAAGUUAAUACCUUGCUGUUUUGACGUUAUCAACAGAAUAAGCACCGGCUAACCUCGUG
rnacentral:rRNA from 1 species